UCUUUGUUUGUCUGUUUAGUUUGCUGUUGAUGCAUUGAAUCCUGGGAUAUCCUUGGCCCGUGAAGAUACACGAAGGCGUCCUCGGAUUUCGAGAUGUUUUGGGCCGCAUUCCUCGGUCGCAUGAUGAAGAGCCUUCAUAUUGGGACUCCACUUGGCGUGGGGCAGUGACGUAUGCAGCCGACAAAUGUGCACUCAAGAGCAUGCAGGCCAUGAAUUAAGACACUGCAUGUAACAUCUCCUCGUUAGUAUAGUGAGCCACGCAAAUACAUAAAUCUGGAGUGCAGUGUGAUUUCAGUGAGACGCAGCUGAUGGGUCGCCAAAUGGAGUCUGGUUUAAGCGAGGAGGCGAGGCAAAGUGUGAAAACACACAUCGAAAACUUGAAAAAGUUUUGGCCAGAAUUUGUGAAACGUUUGUGAACUGUGUUAAUAAAAUCAUCUUAAACUUA